AUGACAGGAAAGUAUGUAAAGGAUCCUAUGCUUGACUCAUAUCCUUAUGGUGGUUACUCGUAUAUGUUCUAUACAUAUAAUUUUUCCUCAGUGAUCGUUAAGGGACGUGAGCUUGAUUAUGGUAUUGGCAUUUUGGAUUUGGUGAGCGUUGACUUAUCUUUGAACCAACUAACUGGGAGAAUACCAGAAGAAAUAGCUGCUCUUGAUGCAUUGAUGAACUUGAAUCUAUCGUGCAACCAGUUGAGUGGGAAAAUCCCAAAUAAGCUUGGGGCCUUGCAGGCUUUGGAAUCACUUGACCUCUCAAGUAACAUGCUUUCUGGUGGAAUCCCUUCGAGCCUGUCAGAUAUAACCUAUUUGAGUUACUUGGACUUGUCUGAUAACAAUCUCACUGGGAGAAUACCAUCAGGUCGUCAGCUUGACACCCUCUACACCCAGCAACCUUCCAUGUACAGUGGCAACAGUGGUCUAUGUGGCCCUCUUCCAAACAGUUGCCCCGGAAAGAAUUCAGCAACACAAGAUUAUCCAAAAAUGAACGAGCAUUCCUUUGAGCCAAUAACCUUUUCUUUUGGACUCGCUCUGGGAUCUAUUCUGGGUCUCUGGGUGGUGUUCUGCGUCCUGUUGUUUAAGAGAGCAUGGAGGAUUUCUUAUUUCGGCCUGAUUGACCAGACAUAUGAUCAGAUGUAUGUGUUUGCCGUUCUUACAUGGAAAAGCUGGGCCAGAAAGGAAGCUACAAAUUGA
rnacentral:rRNA from 1 species